AUUUUUUACAGCAUCAAAAUUUGGUUGUUGUAUUUUCAGCCAACAAGGACCCAUAACUCUUCUACUUAAGACAAACUGCUCGAAUAAGGCGGUAUUAGUUCCAAAAACGUGUGAGAAAGAAGAACCAGUCAAAUCAGUAGGCAGAGCAGGAUAAGAAUAGGAAUAAAUUACCUCUAAGUAAUCAGCGGUCCGAGGAACAUCUUCUAAUUCGAAAGCAUAUUUAUACUUGGAGACUCUUGAUUUCCAUUCCUUGACACCCCUUUUAGAUAACAAAUUGGCUACUUCGUCGUAAACAUCUUUAGUUUGCGCUGCAAUAGAAUCUUCAGAAACUGAGGAUGAUGAUGGGCGGGGAAGGAAGUAUAAAGAACGCAUUAUCCCAUCGACCUUGAGAAAGCACGAAACAUACUGUUUAGUAGCUUUAUCAUAUACUUUGCCAAAUAGACACAAUGAGCCGUACAUCUCGGUAUAAUCCAUCCAAAAAAAAAACAAAGAACCAUCCUCUUCAGUAACAUCAGAUGGUGAUACUUUUGAAAUUGGAGAUGAAUAGGACGAAGCAGGAACAUCUACAUUCUUUAUCUUAGAAUUAAUUUCAGAAAAAGCAGAGACGUCAAGUUCCGAAGAUAAAGGUGUCAUUGGUGAUAGAGGUUGCUGAGAAAUAGUAGCUUUUGAAAGCGAUGCGGUGUCAUCGACCUGAUCAUGACUCAUCAAUGGCUUCAUGGCAAUAGAUUCUUCAACGUCAAUAAUGGGUGCAUCAGAUCCAACGGGGAGUUCUGGUUCGUCUAAUUCCAUUGGUUGACUGUCGACAUUUUCUUCUGUCUCGAGUGCAGCAGGUGGGGAGCUGGGAAUAGGAAGACUGCUAGCAGGUUGAGGAGUUGAAGGUACAGUUUCUGGGAUGUAUUUUUUGGGAUCAGAAGAAACAACGUUAGUUGUACUUAUUGAGGAAGCAGCUUUCUGAGAGCGACGUUUGGCAUUUGAUGUAGUAUGAGAACGAUUUCCCUUUUUUGUCGAGAGGCGUUCGGGAAU